rnacentral:lncRNA from 1 species
GUGCUGAGGAAGAGUCGGGCUUGGGCCCAGGCAUUUAUCGGCCCACAAAUAGAUUCUCUCCACUAGCGGUGGGCCUGAACGCAUGCACUAGCCUAUCUGCGGGCAUGGAGGUGAGUAGGCCUUCCAUAGGGCUUGCAGGGCGCUCAAGGCCAAGCUCGGCCCAGCCCAAGCAUGCCCGAUCCUUUGAGUUUGACAUGGGUCGAGUGCUUGAAAGGCCCAUUUUGUAGGAAAGUGGUAAUGGUGGAUACAGAAAAGGU